CAGCCGCCACGGGAAUACGUAGGUGGCAAGCGUUGUCCGGAAUUAUUGGGCGUAAAGGGCUCGCAGGCGGUUUCUUAAGUCUGAUGUGAAAGCCCCCGGCUCAACCGGGGAGGGUCAUUGGGAACUGGGAAACUUGAGUGCAGAGGAGGAGAGUGGAAUUCCACGUGUAGCGGUGAAAUGCGUAGAGAUGUGGAGGAACACCAGUGGCGAAGGCGACUCUCUGGUCUGUAACUGACACUGAGGAGCGAAAGCGUGGGAGCGAACAGGAUUAGAUACCCCAGUAGUCCCUGUCUCUUAUACA
rnacentral:rRNA from 1 species